rnacentral:rRNA from 1 species
UACGUAGGGUGCAAGCGUUAAUCGGAAUUACUGGGCGUAAAGCGUGCGCAGGCGGUUUUGUAAGCCAGAUGUGAAAGCCCCGGGCUUAACCUGGGAAUGGCAUUUGGGACUGCAAGGCCUGAGUGCGGCAGAGGAGACUGGAAUUCCUGGUGUAGCAGUGAAAUGCGUAGAUAUCAGGAGGAAUACCGAUGGCGAAGGCAGGUCUCUGGGCUGACACUGACGCUCAUGCACGAAAGCGUGGGGAGCAAACAGG